GGAGGCCAUUUUAGAGGUGGGGAAACUGAGGCGCGAAUUGCCCACGGUCACCCAGCAGACCAGUGACAGAACUGGGUUUAGAACCCAGGUCUCCCGAGUCCCAGUCUAAUGCUCAAACUACUAGGCCGCUAGGCCCCAUCUUUGUUGUUAAACUUGGCACCUGGCCCAUACGUAACCUGAACAAAGCAUCUGCUUGGCUUUCUCUGAAUAUGUUUGGUUUUGAAGUCGUCUGGGUUCAAUUGCAACGCUUGUCCUCAGUAGGUGCAGUUCUGACAUAGAUACACUAUGUAGCGCCAUCUCCUAACUAAAACAGCUGGGGUCAUCUGUUUGUGCUCUCUGGGAAUUGAUCAGCCAUGUGGUACGGCUUGGAAAAGGAGGAUGUGUUUUGGACCUAGGGUUAAUUUUUUUUUUUUUUUUUUUUUUUUUGGCAGUUGUUCUUCAACAUGUUUCUACAUAUCUGCUAAGGAACUCAAACACUGCAUUGCUGUUAACUCUAGAGAGAGGAUAUAUGAUUGGUGGGAUCACAUAAGAUCUACAUUAUCCUCCAGCCACCAAGGAAUUGAAGAUCGGGUCCUAUUUAUAUGUCAUAGUGCACGUAUGGAACUGAGGAUCUCAGCCAGUUCUGAGGCCAGAGAGAAUCAUAUUUUGCUAGGGAGCUGUGCUGCUGAACACUGAUGUGUCUUGGGCCAGAUACUGCCACCCUUACUCAUGCUAAGUAAUACCUGACUCUGUAAGUACAACAGCUAAUGAUAAUAUACUACACUAGGCCAGGUUUUGCCAUCAGUGUAGCGUUUGGGCCUGAUCCUUUAUGCUUCAAGCAAUAAGCAUGGCAUUAUAUAGCCUUAAAGGGUGGUCGCUUUCUUCCUUGUAUAAAACAAACCCAUUGAAACAAUUUCCAAUCCUUUCUCUUUUGCUGUCUCUGAAUUCACUGGUUCAACACAACAUGUACAGAACACGCGUCUGAUUGACAAAAAUGCCUGACUGUCCUAUGUAGCUACAGUGUCAACCAAGUUAACAGUGUUGUUUGUUUAAAAGACCACUGUCCUUGUACUGUGCUUAGUGUGGGGGAAAAUGAAAUGUACCAUUUGUUGGAAUCAUACUGGCUAAGCCAUGUCACUUUAUACGCAUCUCUUUAAUAAAAGACAAUUGGCCAAAUCCA
rnacentral:lncRNA from 1 species